rnacentral:misc_RNA from 1 species
GAUGAAGAACGCAGCGAAAUGCGAUAAGUAAUGCGAAUUGCAGAAUUUCCGUGAAUCAUCGAAUCUUUGAACGCACAUUGCGCCCGCCAGUAUUCUGGCGGGCAUGCCUGUUCGAGCGUCAUUACAACCCUCAGGCCCCCGGGCCUGGCGUUGGGGAUCGGCGGAAGCCCCCUGCGGGCACAACGCCGUCCCCCAAAUACAGUGGCGGUCCCGCCGCAGCUUCCAUUGCGUAGUAGCUAACACCUCGCAACUGGAGAGCGGCGCGGCCACGCCGUAAAACACCCAACUUCUGAAUGUUGACCUCGAAUCAGGUAGGAAUACCCGCUGAACUUAAGCAUAUCAAUAAGCGGAGGA